rnacentral:rRNA from 1 species
ACGGAGGUUGCAAGCGUUGUUCGGAAUGACUGGGCGUAAAGGGAGCGCAGGCGGUUUGGUUAGUCUAAAGUGAAAUCCCAGGGCUCAACUCUGGACUGGCUUUGGAUACUGUCAAACUUGAGUACGUGAGAGGAGAUUGGAAUUCUCGGUGUAGCAGUGAAAUGCUUAGAUAUCGAAAGGAACACCCGUGGCGAAGGCAAGUCCCUGGAAAACUCCUGACGCUGAGGCACGAAAGCUAGGGGAGCAAACAG